rnacentral:rRNA from 1 species
CCUACGGGGGGCAGCAGUGGGGGAUAUUGGACAAUGGGGGGAACCCUGAUCCAGCGACGCAGCGUGAGUGAAGAAGUAUUUCGGUAUGUAAAGCUCUGUCAGCAGGGAAGAAAGAAAUGACGGUACCUGACAAAGAAGCACCGGCUAACUACGUGCCAGCAGCCGCGGUAAUACGUAGGGUGCAAGCGUUAUCCGGAAUUACUGGGUGUAAAGGGGGCGUAGACGGUUAAGUAAGUCUGGAGUGAAAGGCCGGGGCCCAACCCCGGGACUGCUCUGGAAACUAUUGAACUUGAGUGCAGGAGAGGUAAGCGGAAUUCCUAGUGUAGCGGUGAAAUGCGUAGAUAUUAGGAGGAACACCAGUGGCGAAGGCGGCUUACUGGACUGUAACUGACGUUGAGGCUCGAAAGCGUGGGGAGCAAACAGGAUUAGAUACCCCAGUAGUC